UACGUAGGGUGCGAGCGUUUAAUCGGAAUUACUGGGCGUAAAGCGUGCGCAGGCGGUGAUGUAAGACCGAUGUGAAAUCCCCGGGCUUAACCUGGGAACUGCAUUGGUGACUGCAUUGCUCGAGUAUGGCAGAGGGGGGGUGGAAUUCCACGUGUAGCAGUGAAAUGCGUAGAGAUGUGGAGGAACACCGAUGGCGAAGGCAGCCCCCCUGGGCCAAUACUGACGCUCAUGCACGAAAGCUGGGGAGC
rnacentral:rRNA from 1 species